GAAGUUAAGGAUUUUAAAGGGGGUAAUGACUUGAAGGAGGUUGCUGUUGGUGGGCUAGCCUGGGAGGGAAAGAUGGAUUCUGUUUAUAAAAGUGUUGAUUUUGAAGGGGAAAAUGGGUCUGGAAGUGGUGGUGGUGAUGCCUCUGUGCGAGAAGCAGCGGAAAUAACCGAAACACACUCGAGUAAAGUAGUGGGAGAAGAAAAUGGUUCGUGUGAAAUUGAGGGGGAAGUGAAGGCGGGGGCUUGUGGCGUAGUGAGUUCAAGUUCAGUCGGGGAGGAUGCGAUCCAAGUUGAAAAUGCUAACGUGGAAGUGAAAGUAGACAGUGCGAAUGACUUACUGCCUCACAAAAAACCUGGAAAUGUUUCACCAAAGGUUAGUUCUGAAGGUGUUGAGAAUCAGGGCAUGGAAAUCAAUGACGAACAAGCUAAGAAUUCUGAGGGUCAAAAUGAGGAUGCUGCUGCCUUUGAUGAAAGGGUUUUGCAGGAAAAUGAGAACCUUGAAUCCAAUAAUUUAAAUCUUGUUGCGGAUUCGGAGCCUUGCGUGGGUGCAGAUGGGAAUGCAAAAAUGGCUUCCAAAGAAGCAGGAUUGGGUGUUGGUGAUCUGGUAUGGGGUAAAGUGAGGAGCCACCCCUGGUGGCCUGGCCAGUUAUUUGGUUGCGCUGAUGCGUCAAAGAAGGCUAAGAAGUAUUUUAAAAAGGAUAGCUAUUUAGUAGCAUACCUUGGGGAUCAAACUUUUGCUUGGAAUGAAGUGUCAAAGAUAAAGCCAUUCCGAUGCAACUUCUCGCUAUUGGAGAAACAGAGCAAUUUAGAGGACUUUCAUGAUGCUGUUCAUUGUGCUUUGGAUGAGGUUUCUAGACGGGUAGAGUUUGGGCUAGCUUGUCCUGCAUGCCUGGGUAUAGCAAGAUAAAAACUCAGAUAAUUGUCAAUCCAGGAAUCCGGGAAGAAUCUUGUAGAAGGGAUGGUGGAGAUAGUUUCUCGAGUGCUGCUUCCUUUGAACCAGCAAAGCUAAAUGACUAUGUGAAAGAAUUAGGCCAAUUGCCAUUAGGUGGAAUUGACACACUGGAGUUUGUAACAGCACGAUCCCAAUUGUUGGCAUUCAAUCGCUGGAAGGGUUAUUGUCACCUGCCUGAAUUUCAAUUCCUUGGUGAAUUGCUAGAGAGUGAUGCAGAGAUUCCACUAUCACCAGAAGUUAAACACGGCAGUGAAAAGGUUGAGAAUGCUGCUACCAUGGUUGGGAAGGAGAAGCCAAAAGGUGAAGUUCACUCUUUGCAUAGGCGUAAGCGUAAGCGUAAGCGCAUUUAUGGGGAUGAUGAACAUCCAAGCGAGAAAGAAAAAUGUUUGGCUGACCUUAUUGCUGAAAGGCGCUCAUCGGCUGCUAAAGGUAAAGGUGGUUUGGAUGGUGAAGCUACUGGCGAGAUGACCAAGUCAUCUUCAGGUCGGAAAAGGAAGGCUGUUGGUUCUAUUUCUGAUGACUCAGUGAUGAAACAAAGCAAAAGUCCUUCCUCGCCAGGGAUUGGUAAUGGUUCCUCAGAGUCUAAGAAAACCUAUAGGGUUGGAGAUAGCAUCCUUAGGGUAGCAAGCCAACUGAAUACGUCAACGCCUAUACUCAAAUCUCAACGAUGUAAUCUAUCCAUAAUAAAUCAUCCUUUAUUUGAUGGAGCAGCUCGGUGUGUGGCUUCAAAAGAAGUUACAAAGGAUAGUGUAUAUGGUGCAUCUCGUAUGCCAAAAUCUAUAGUUAGUACAAGCUCUUCAUCACAUUCCUACUCGGUGGAGUCAUCAUAUCCCAGUUCAUUGUAUCGAGCAUUGCAAAAGGAGUUAAAGGAUAAAGAAGAGGAGAUAAAGAAAAAAGAUGAUUUUAUUCUUGAAAUGAAACAGCAGAUGGAUUCCAUGAAAGAAUAUCUUGUAAACAAUUUUAGAUAUCAUGAAGGGACAUCAAAUAAUAACCAAGGUAUGCAACCACAUUUGACUCCAUCAAUACCGCCACUUAUGGCUCCUCAGAUAAUGACACCUAGGUGUCUCACAUCUCAACCAAUUUUUUGACCUACACCUCGACCUUUAUAUCCUGAUCAAUCUUGUGUCGAUCCACAAUAUCAUGGUUCAUCUUCGCAACCAACACCAUGAUUGUAUCUUUUGUUGUUUUUUUUUAUUGUAUUUGAACUUAAUUGUAUUAAUGCAAGUUUAACUAAAUUUUUAUAAUAUGAAUAUUAUUUUUAUUCUAUUUUUUUAUUACUGAUACACUUAUUUUUAAUAUUAAUUUAUGUUGGCUAUAUAUAUUCUAUAACUUUUAAAAUAUCCAUAAAUAAUUAAUUAAAUAAAUUAAAAGUCAUUUUAAUAAAUAAAUAAAAAUCAAUUUAAUAAAAAAUAAUAUAAUCACCAACGGAUUCUCCGUUGGUGAUUGAGUUACAAUCACCAAUGGAGAAUCCGUUGCUGAUUCACAAAACUAGCAACGAAUUUAUCCAUUGCUGCGAAAUCAGCAACGGAUAAAUCCAUUGCUAAAAAAUCAACAACAAUAAAUCUGCAUCCGAUUUUUAUCGCUGAUGAUUUCGUUGCUAAAUUGUUUUAGCAACGGAUUUUAGUGUUAUUUGCAACGGAGUAGUCCGUUGCUAACUAUUACAUUUUUUAGUAGUGAACUCAAAAUCUAUCUGAUGAGAUCUUUGUGAUUCAUUAAAAAAAAUUAAAUUUAUUAUUUUCGUUACGUAUAUGUGUUUCGAGAAACCUAAUAAUAUCCUUAUGUAGUAUUUUUGUUGUUGUUGUGGUCAUCCUAUAUCAACAAAAUUAAAUAAAUUUGCAUUUAUAGUUGCAAAGUAGAAAUUAUAUCAAAUCUCUCAGUGCAGAAGAGAUCACAAUAAAUCACAUAGGAAAGACAUAAGUGUUCUAGCAUAAGCAAUAAAUUAGCAAAGAAGUGGAAAUCAACAUCCCUCUUUGUGUCCAGUCUCAACCGUGAAAACCAAAGAACCAUUCCUUAAGUUCAUAUCUAUGCCUUCCAUUCACUGAUGCUGCAUUUUGCAUGAUCGGAAGGCAUAACUUGUUAAAAUAGAAAGCUCCACGUUGAUAAAAUAGAUUCAUUAGAAGACAGAAGCACUAACUUACUAAGCUCCCACACCACUAAAUGAACUAAAGAGAGAAGGAAAUGGGAAGACUUCCUGUUAGUAACUCUCUUGUUGCUGGUGAAUAUUCUCGGCCAUAUCCAGCAUAAAGCUGCAUGAGAGAUCCUUUCUGAGUCUUUCAUACCAUUAAAUGCACACGAAACCCAAAUAUUAUCUUUUUAUUCUGUUCCUGGAGACAAUGAUAGUUCCAACAACAAACAAUAUUUUCCAUUUAUUAGAAAACAAUCCAAUUACAUGCCGCUGAAGUUGUAAAUACAAAGUAGCCCACGUGUUGAAGAUUAAAAAUACAUGCUUUAUUCAAUUCUAAUACAUGUCUCAUCUCAAAACUUCUUUGAAAUUGAUCUAAUCCUCAUGCAUGCAUGCCCAGACUUGAGAGCAGUAGAAAACAGACGUUUUCUGCAACUUUUUAUGAUACAAAACAGACUCCCCUUGAAUUCCAUAGCAUGUUUUCAAUGCAGAAGAGUGCACUACUGUAUGCCAGACAGGGUAUCCUACUGAUAUGAUGUUAUUUAAGACUCUUUUAUCCAGUAUUCAUGAGGUUUCUCGAGUAAUAUGAAAACCAAAUCGAAUCGUGCGGCACUCUUGCGAGGCUGCAAUAUGGAUUUCAGAUGUCAUCAACAUAUCCAUGUGAGAAAGCUAGAUUGCCAUCCUCCUAUAUUACAGAACAAGGGCUAUAUUACGAGCUGAAAAUGCCUAGGGUUUGUGUUUUCAAGCUUUCUCCAUAUAAAAAACAUUUUCGUAAAUAUCAGUACUUAAAAGAUGUAGGGUCCAAGUUAUAUUUAUUAUUAUCCAGACAGUCUUAAUUAACGUAUAUAGAUGAAGACUUAGAAAGUAAUACUUAAUGACCACCAACUGGAGUUUCCGCUGCUAAAACAGAAGUUCGUGCUAAUAAACUUGAAAGGAGGCCAGCCUUUGCAACAGAGACACCUUGCUGCUCCAAAGCUUCUAGAAGAGCCUGUGGUUAAAUGGUAAACCCAAUAUAAGUCCGAGAUCAAUGUGAUCAAAAUCAAAAAUCGGUAAGUGGUCAGAAAAAACCUGAUGUUCUGCAGACAUUUUAUCAAAUUCACCAAUACAACAGUGUCCAAGAUCUGCAAGCACCAUAGCUCCCCUAUUUGAAGAUACAACUGUUUUGUGAAUUUCCAACGAAUGUUCACUAACUGCAAGGACAGUGAAGAUAAAUUGGAGCACACUGCAUGCCUGAUCUGCGAACAAUGCAUAUACAAAGAAACUCGAAAUUCUUUGUAUGAAUUACUGCAUUCCCACAUUUCUCUUCAUGGUUCAAUUAUAACCACAAUAUUGGAAUUCUUUAUAAGUAACUUCCAGUAGUUGGAUGUUUUGAGUAUUCCUUUAUAUUUAAAACCACAUAUGUAACAGUUGUAAUUCUUUGGUCUAGCUUUGAAGCCAUAUAAUGCUCUGCUUUUUAAAUAAGGAAAGCCUAAAUAUUUUGGAUUACAGGAUAUCAAUAUUUUCAAUCCAAAGCUGGCAAUUUAGAGAGAAAUCACUCUUCAAUCAGUUCCUCCACAAUCAUCAAGGCUGUUUUUGUUAGGAGGGAUGGUAGAGAGGAUAAAUGAGGAGAACGGAUGGGAUAAAUCCCUUGUAUGGCACCGUGAAUGGAGACUCAGGGAAGGAAAGGAAAGAUCCUUCCUUCCUCAAUUGUAAUUUACAAUCUGUCCAAUUUGAGCGGAUUGGCUUCCAUUUUUUCCCUUUCUUGCUAGCCAAACAACUAGAUAGAUGAGGUAACAUCCAUCCUUUCUGAGAUAAUUAAAAGAUAUUAAUUGAUAUCUGAGAUAUUAAAUAUCAGCAAAUUUAGCGGUGAUGACUGAUGAGAAAGUUGUUUUAUGUUUCCAGCACAAGCACAAAGAUUGGGGAAUAGGAGCGAAGGCCUUCUCACAGCACAGUCUACAUUCCCCAAAAACAGUGAAAGAUGCUUGAGACACUGGGGAAAAUGAAUCAUAAUAAAGUUAUGGAGUCCCUUCAAUACACAAAAGCUUGAAAUACCUUUAACAAGCCCGUGUCCAUAGAUUGACGGACAUUUCGCCUGAAGUAUUUGCCGGAAGAUAUCUGAACCAUGUUCUUCUGAGGACUUGACAAUAAAUUCCAAAUCCCGUACGUGAAGAGAAUGAGAACAGAUCAGACAGCUCUGUAGCUCUAGCAUUACAUUUGGAAUCUUGCAGAUUGUCAGAAACAGUUUUCUUACAGUCAAAAUACCAUCUCAACGGUGUAAUCUAUUAUCUAUCCAUAAUAAAUCUGUCAUGAAAACAGGAGAAAGGAUAUUAAAAAGAAAAAAGCGGGUCGUGGUCUGGAAAUUUUAGUGUUUAGUUAAACGUAAAACUUAGGAGCAUCUCUUUGAUCAAUGGCGCAGCAGCCAGCAGUUCUCCUGUAUAUAAUACCAAGUAGAUGGUGAUGGCUAUGCAACACCGCUUGACAUAGCAAUUUUACUUUUGACCCAAACCAGAUUUAAGAAAAGACAGUCAGAUCUCUUCCAUGCCUCAUAUGCGUCAAAUCUAAACAUCAACCAUAUCAUAUCACUUAAUAAGAGUUUGAUACUGAAUUUUUUUUCCUGUUACUAUCAUUAUUAAAAUUUAUAUGAUUAUUAAUUUUAAAAUUUAAAAGAUUAGUUAAGAUAUAUAUAAGAUUUAAAUAUUUAUAUUAAUAAAAAAAACAUCAAUCACAUUGAAAUAUGAUUUUUUUUUUAAUUAACAUGUUUUUUAAAAAAUAUUUAUGAAAUAAUAUAAUUUGAAAAAAAAUUAAUGAAAUAGAAUAUUGGAGACAGCAAAAACUUUUAUUAUGAUAUUAUUAGUAUUAUUAAAAAUAUUUUAACAAACCGAGUCCAAUAAUAUCAAAAAUAAAAUAUUACAAAUAAUAACUCAAAUGAAUCACACUUAAUAUAAAAAAAACAAAUAAAUCAUCUAUUAUCCUUAAAAAAAAAAAGUAUAUUACCAUCAAAUUAUUAUUAAUAACUUUUUUAUAUUAUUAAUUUUAUCUUUUUAAGAUUUUUUUUAAUAAUAUUUAUAGUUUUAACUGUAGCUUUGAUUUUUCUCCAAAUAUUACUAUUCCUAAAUAGUGAUAAGCCACAGUUUUCCCCAUUUUUCUUUUAUUAAACCGAGUUAUUUCACUGAUAUUUUUUUUAAAAAAAGCUAAUAAGGAAAAAAUAACCGAAAUAUAAGGCAGCUUGACAUCCAGGCCUCACCUCAGUUGACUCUUCCAUGUUUCUUUCUUUGCUUCUGUCUCUUCUCUAUGUCACUUCUGCACAAGAAAAGAAAGCUCAGCGCAGCUGAAAGAGAGUGACCAAAGGGUAAUUGUUUCUCUCUCUAAGACUUUUUUUUGGUCUUUUCUGUGUUAUAAACUGAGUUUUCUUUCCUUUUCUUUUUUAAUUUAUGAUUUAAUGGUUCGGUUAUUUUAUUGUUAAAUGCCUGCAAAUCUUGACAGCAUCGACUUGAACUCCGACGUCGUUUCCGGUGAACGAGAAGACGGUGUUAAUGGGUUUAGUAACGUCUCUGUGGUAAAGAGUAAGGUGGGUUUAUCUUCUGAUGCUGAAACCCUAAUGGACUCUGUUACUAGUAGUCAGGGUCAGAACCAAGAGCCUGUAGUCGAUGAAGUUAAGGAUUUUAAAGGGGGUAACGACUUGAAGGAGGUUGCUGUUCGUGGGCUAGCCUGGGAGGGAAAGAUGGAUUCUGUUUAUAAAAGUGUUGCUUUUGAAGGGGAAAAUGGGUCUGGAAGUGGUGUUGGUGAUGCCUCUGUGCGAGAAGCAGCGGAAAUAACCGAAACACACUCGAGUAAAGUAGUGGGAGAAGAAAAUGGUUCGUGUGAAAUUGAGGGGGAAGUGAAGGCGGGGGCUUGUGGCGUAGUGAGUUCAAGUUCAGUUGGGGAGGAUGCGAUCCAAGUUGAAAAUGCUAACGUGGAAGUGAAAGUAGACAGUGCGAAUGACUUACUGCCUCACAAAAAACCUGGAAAUGUUUCACCAAAGGUUAGUUCUGAAGGUGUUGAGAAUCAGGGCAUGGAAAUCAAUGACGAACAAGCUAAGAAUUCUGAGGGUCAAAAUGAGGAUGCUGCUGCUUUUGAUGAAAGGGUUUUGCAGGAAAAUGAGAACCUUGAAUCCAAUGAUUUAAAUCUUGUUGCGGAUUCGGAGCCUUGCGUGGGUGCAGUUGGACUGGUAUGGGGUAAAGUGAGGAUUGAGUGUUGGCGAUCUGGUAUGGGGUAAAGUGAGGAGCCAUCCCUGGUGGCCUGGCCAGUUAUUUGGUUGUGCUGAUGCGUCAAAGAAGGCUAAGAAGUAUUUUAAAAAGGAUAGCUAUUUAGUAGCAUACCUUGGGGAUCAAACUUUUGCUUGGAAUGAAGUGUCAAAGAUAAAGCCAUUCCGAUGCAACUUCUCGCUAUUGGAGAAACAGAGCAAUCUAGAGGACUUUCGUGAUGCUGUUCAUUGUGCUUUGGAUGAGGUUUCUAGACGGGU
rnacentral:lncRNA from 1 species